CGUGAAGGCCGGAAGCCGUCGGACCGGUGGGUCCGGUUGCACCCCCCCCCCCCCCCCCUCCAUCCCCUUCCUCCCUGACUCAUAUAUGCUGGAUUAUCAAGGCAAUAGGAUCGUGAUGAGAUAAAGACUAAUUAAUACAUCUGCUUACCCUGAGACCCCCCCCCCCCUCUGCAGCAUCACUUCUCAGCCCCCCCCCCCCCCCCCGUACCCUCCAAGCCCCCUGACGACCUUAAUAAUGUCAGUUCGGGAACUUUAGAAGAACAAAUAAACGUAUAUACAUCGAAAUGUCUGCAGAGGCUGGGCUGGGCUGGUGCGGCUGCUGAAAAAGAUAUACCUAAAAUAUUCCGCUCAUGAGAGCGAGCCAUAGAUCACACAGAACAAAAGGAAGAGCUAGUUAGACUAAAACAGGUAUCUCCAACCGGCUCUUCCGGUCACUUAAAAAAACAGCCAGCCAUAUAGCGGCUCCAUCGGGUACCCUUACCCCCCCUCGGACGCGACGCCGCGCUUGGAGGGCCCUGUUUGUGCACUUACAUUUGCUGCUGCUUCCUAUAGAGCCAACGAGACAAAGCUGUUGAACUGUUUGAUGUGGUGAAUGAACUUCGAUGAACGAGGGACAGAGAGGGGCGUGCGAGCACCCGAAGCGAGUGCGAUCGCGGACUCUGACGCGGUGGUGAAAGUCGCUGACGCCAGGAUGAAUGAGGGCCGUUGCGCGCCGAAAGCCAACGGUAAAGGGGAACCAAGACUUUCCCGGCUGGACAGAAGCAGCCCUCUCUGAAUGGUCGUUAGCCGGCAGCCGAGACACCCUGCUGGGAUCGACAACGCGGCGCUGGCUGGGGUGCCCUGCCUGCCACCCUGAGAGGGGGCCCCGUG
rnacentral:lncRNA from 1 species